AUACGGAGGGUCCAAGCGUUAUCCGGAAUCAUUGGGUUUAAAGGGUGCGUAGGCGGAUAAUUAAGUCAGUGGUGAAAGACUGCAGCUCAACUGUAGAGGUGCCAUUGAUACUGAUUAUCUUGAGUACAGUUGAGGUAGGCGGAAUUUAUGGUGUAGCGGUGAAAUGCAUAGAUACCAUAAAGAACACCGAUAGCGAAGGCAGCUUACUGGACUGUAACUGACGCUGAGGCACGAAAGCGUGGGGAGCGAACGGGAUUAGAAACCCCAGUAGUCC
rnacentral:rRNA from 1 species